ensembl:lncRNA
AUGCGGCCCGCAGCGGGAGGGGAGGGAAAGGAGGCGGGGCAACGGCGCAACGUGCCCCCACGUGCGCGGAGCGCCGCGCGCCCAAGUCGACGUUACGUUACCGGCCACCCCCAAAAAAGGGGAAGGAGGCGGGGCAUAGAGGUGGUGGGCGGGAAGGAAGAAACGAACAGACGGGCCGGGAGCGCGCAAACGCCUGAUCUUUACAGUGCUCUUAAGAGCGCUGCGGCUGAUUCUGGCGCAUGCGCUCCCUCAAACGAGGAUGCUCCUGACUCUAAUUCCUCUUACUCCGCCCAGCCAAGCUUUUACAGCGCUCUCCCCUUCAGGCCCAUGUGCGCAUGCGCUCCCCAAAGGCCUACUAGGGCUGCAGCGAGAGCGCGCUCCAAUGAUUCCUCCAGAUCCUUUUAUCCCCUACUUUCCCACCACCUUCCCAUACCUUUACCGCGCUCUCGCGCUGGGCCACGGUCCCACCUCGGCUUCCGGCUAGCUUGUGCGCAUGCGCUCCAAAGCACUGCUGCGAUAGCUGCGGAAGCGCGCUCGAGCUUCUUUUGCCUUCUUUCCUGGCCCCACCUUCACUUCACCCAGCUCUCAGACUUGCCUCGGAGCGCGGCCGGCUCUUGCGCAUGCGCUACACAGGCACUGCUAGGGCAUUCACGGGAGCGCGCGCGCAGCAACCGCCUCUAGAGGGAAAUUAGAAAGGAGAGGGAGGGAGGUGGGGUCGGGGGUGGUGGGCUCCCGCCAAAUAGAAACUCCAGGGCCUCUCCAAUCCUUGGCCCACUGCCUUCCGGGAUGUAGGGGCCCAACUUGAGCCCGCCAGGAAACCGAAAAGGCUGAGACAAAAGGCACCAAUUUAGUCUUCAAAAAAUUAUAAUAAUAGAUGUCAUAUGGCAUAAAGCGCUUUUGCAAAUUUUAAAGUGCCACCUCUGUGCUGGCUAUUCAUCCAUGGCUUCUGAGUUUGCAAAGCGCUUCACUUCUAAUUCGACUUAGAUAACUGUGAGGUAGUUGUCAACGUGAAUUCUGGAAGCCCCAAGUUCACUUGGGACUUCCAGAAUUCAUGUUGACAUAAUCAACAAGUUUUUAUUGAUUGCCAGCCACUGCUAAGUGCCCAGUUUACAAAGAAAAGCAAAAAAGUGCUAUCCGGGAGUUUACAGCAUAAUGGGGGAGACAAUUCGCAAACAAAUACUAGUGAUACUUGUCCCUAUUUUACAGAAGAGGAAACUGAGGUUCAGGGAUUUGGAUGGCAUCUGGACUAGUUCUUGGAGGAUUUUCCCCCAUACAUGCCCCUAUCCCGCUUAUUGGAGGCUGGAGUUACUGUAAAUUGCUUAGUCAGGGAUGUAAAACACUGAGGGCAGCUCUUAGCCUACCUGCUCCUAAAGUCCCCUUAGAAGCUUAGUCAUUGCUUGCUCUGAGCUCUUUUUUCUUAUAAAGGAUUUAGAUCUGGUAGACGAGACGUUGGAAAGCCUCUGUUUAAGUAAAAACAGCAUAGGAUCUGCACAGAAUCAAAGUAGCACAAAUAUUUAUUAAUCUCGCAAGUCCCAGCUAAAAUCCCACUUUCUAAUAG